rnacentral:rRNA from 1 species
GUGAAGCUGGAUUCGCUAGUAAUCGCGCAUCAGCCAUGGCGCGGUGAAUAUGUUCCCGGGCCUUGUACACACCGCCCGUCAAGCCAUGGAAGCCGGGGGUGCCUGAAGUGUGCAGCCGCAAGGAGCGCCCUAAGGUAAAACCGGUGACUGGGGCUAAGUCGUAACAAGGUAGC